rnacentral:rRNA from 1 species
UACGUAGGUGACAAGCGUUGUUCGGAUUUACUGGGCGUAAAGAGCGCGCAGGCGGUCGUUCAAGUCGAGUGUGAAAGCCCCCGGCUCAACUGGGGAGGGUCAUUCGAUACUGAUCGACUCGAAGGCAGGAGAGGGUAGUGGAAUUCCCGGUGUAGUGGUGAAAUGCGUAGAUAUCCUGAGGAACGCCGGUGGCGAAAGCGACGUGCUGGAUACCUACUGACGCUGAGGCGCGAAAGCCAGGGGAGCGAACGGG